CGGCUAGUAUCGCGAGAUCAGGAAGGUGGCCGAGUGUGUCGCCGCGGCCAUCAGGCACUUCUCCUUCCUGCCCUUGUAUGAAGAAGGAUGUGUUUGCUUCCCCUUGUGCCAUGAUUGUAAAUUUCCUGAGGCCUCCUCAGCCCUGCAGAACUGGGGUUAUAGCCAUGUGACUGAUCUUCGUCCAAGAAUAUGUAAAGAAAAAGUGUUGAGUUGGCUUUUAGGGCUAGAGCAAUGUAUCUUAGGCUCACUUAAGGAAGCUGUAGAGAUGAGCCCAAGGAGGGAAACCAGAAGAGCCCCCCAGGCUCACCAGUUGUUUGUUGGCUCCCUACAAACAUGUCAUUCAAGUGGCUAAUCUUACAACAGCACAAAUUCAUCUAACCAGAAAGAGAAGAGGAGGCUCCAAAGGCACUUGACUACUGAGCAUCACCCUGGACGUGUACAAGUCUGCGUCCUUAUUGUUUUCUUCAUUGGGCCGAACUUUCUGGUCCUCAUCCAACAGCUCUUCUAUCACGUGUUCGAAAGUGUCAGCCAAUGAUGUCAAGCCUCUUGAACCUGCCUUGGGCCCAUUCACGCUCUCCAGAGUCCCAUGGGUCCGCACACCUGGAGAUACUCUAUUAUAGCAAAGAAGAAAGAUAAUUUCAUUGAGCCAUCCUGUUUUACAGGAAAUUCUGCAAGUGGCAACGUGGGUCCAUUCCGUGUGUGUCACUAGAGCUGGCGCAAGCCCAUGGCCAUGGUGAGGCAGCGUUUCCACUGGAACUAAUCUGAUACCUGCACCAGCUCUUGCAACUGUGCAGUGUUCCCACUGCAAACUACGGAUGGGGUAAAAGACUGCUCACCUCCUAUUUCUCAUCUAAUCUCACACACUCUGUUUGAUGAGGCUAUGGAGAAACAGGUCUUCUCAUACACUAAAGGUGGGAGUACAAACAAUUCAAGCCCUGUGCAGGACAAUUAGGCAAUACCUAUCAAAAUUAUACAUGAUUUUUCCUGCUGACCCAGCAAUUCCACUUCUGGGAAUAAUUGACAGAUAUAGGUGCAUAUGUACAAAAUGAUGGAAAGCUCUCUGGUAUAUAUUAGUAAGUGAUAAAACAAGGUGUAAAAUAGUGUAUAUAUGGCUACUACCUUUUGUUUUAAAAAUGGGGGAAAAUGGUGGAGCUUGCGGUGAGCCGAGAUCGUGCCACUGCACUCCAGCCUGGGCGACAGAGCGAGACUCCGUCUCAAAAAAAAAACAGGGUGGGGUGGGGGGGAAAUAAUAGUACAUACUCAUAUUUACCUGUAUCUAUAUAAAACACACUAUCAAGGAUUCACAAGAAACUAAUACAAAUGAUCACCUUAUAGAUGGUAUGUAUUGGGGGAUACUGAGGUGAGCAGGGUAUAAGUGGGGCAAGACUUUUCAGUGUAAACUUCUUUUAAAUUUUAUUUUGAUUUUUGAAUAAUGUAAAUUAACUGUCAAAUAAUUAAAUUAAAAAUAACCAAUUUAUUAACAAAA
rnacentral:lncRNA from 1 species